rnacentral:rRNA from 1 species
UACAGAGGUCUCAAGCGUUGUUCGGAUUCAUUGGGCGUAAAGGGUGCGUAGGCGGCCCGUUAAGUCAGUGGUGAAAGCCUCCAGCUCAACUGGAGAACUGCCAUUGAUACUGACGGGCUUGAGUACAGACGAGGUUGGCGGAAUUGAUUGUGUAGCGGUGAAAUGCAUAGAUACAAUCAAGAACUCCGAUUGCGUAGGCAGCUAACUAGGCUGUAACUGACGCUGAGGCACGAAAGCGUGGGGAGCGAACAGG